CAGUGGUUGGUUGAAAUUACAGAAAUACGACAACUUUAACAUGGAAUAAUUUAUGGAUUUCUUUUUUUUUAAAGAAGACUAAGAGAAAAAGAUGUUUUAUAUGACACAUUCUACCAGUGUUCCAAGUUUCAAAGUGUUUCGUUAAUGAAAAAUGUGGCCCCCGUUUUAAAAAAGAUCCGUAGUGGUGGUGGUAGUAGUAGUAGUAGUAGUAGCAGCAGCAGCAGUAGUAGUAGUGUGACUCAGACGGUGAUGUUGGUGUUGGCAGUGAAACUAAUGGACACAGAUAAGUCUCGGUGUUUAUUACAGUACAACAUACGUCUUGGUUGUUGUUGUUAAUUUGGCUUUUGUUGCAGAAGGUGCUAAUAAUGGUAGUGGUGCUGUCGAUGGCAUCGUUAUUACCAAAGUCAGUAUCGACUUCGUUAUCGUUAUUUCUGAUUGCUAUAAAUACAUCAUAUGGCAUUACCUGCAACGUAUUCCAUUUCCGGUGUUUUUUUACUUGGCAUCACUGCACUGUAUAAAAGAAAACAGAAACGAAGGAGAAAAAAAAGUAAGAAAGGAAAAAAAGAAAGAAAGAAAGAAAGAAAAAAUAAACACAACAAACAAAAAUGAAAAGUGUAUUGUUACUCAAAUUCGUUUUUUGGGCUUUUAUAAAUAAGCAGCCGAGGAAGUGAAGCACUACAUGGAUGUAGUAUAUUUUCCGGUAUAAACGAGUCGAAUUUUUCACACCAAAAUCUACAAUAAAAAAAAGGUUUUGUUGGAGCUUCUGGAGUCUUGCAUGCGUAGCGAACUUACUACCUGCAGCCUACGAUACCAUGUUAUUCAUUCUUUUCAGCUAUCUAUUACUUUUCUGAUUAUUCUGACCGUGCCAAGGAGGCAAACCUUUUGUAACAGUUCUACCAAGUACUCUAUUCCAAUUUCUUUUAUAUUCCUCUUGAUGCUUUCUGAUACGGUUCCCAAGGAUCCAAAUAUAAUUGGCACUAUCUUCACCUUCAUUUUCCAGAGCCGGGCUAUUUCGUACUUAAGAGGGUUGUAUCUAUCUAUCUUUUCACCUUCCUUCUUGACUGUUCGUGAGUCAAAGAGGCAUGCAACGUUAACUAUAUGUGAUGCACCUUGUCCACUACAACUAGGUCCGGUCUGUUAUGCUCUAGUACCUGAUCAUAUUAGAUAAAUAAUUAAAAGGCUAACUGUUCAUUGUUGGUUGUUGAAAUAUACAUAACUUUGUCAUUAAUUAUCAUCAAGAAAGCAAUCAAUGGCAGAAUCAGCGGCUCACCAGACAAACGUAUUAUGGUUUAAUUAUGUUUUCAAACGCAUUAAAUUCUAGGGCAGAGAUCAACUCUACUUUACAUCUCUCAUGAGUAAAGAAAAAUAUACGUUAAGAACUGGGGAAGAUCUUUCGUCUGUCCUUGCAUCCAAGUAAGGAAUUUUUAUCAGGAAUACAUUUGUCUAAGUCAGACAUUCCAAUCAAAACAACCUAAAGUCUGGUAAGUUAUCUAUAUUGGGAGAAGGCGCGUGGCUUAUUGGCUAGGGUAUUCGGCUCACUAUCGUAAAGCCGUGAGUUCGAUUUCCGGUCACGCGUCUUGAGCAAGAAAUUUAUUUCUCGUUCCUCCAGUCCAUUCAGCUGGCAAACAUGAGCUGUACCCGUAAUUUAAAGAGCCAACUUUCUCACACUCUAUGUCACACCGAAUCUUCCGAAGAAUUGCGUUAAGGGUACGCGUGGCUGGGAAGUGUCACUUAUACAUUAAUUUUACGAGCAGGCUGUUAGGUUGAUCGUAUCAACUGGAUCAUUCGUCGUUGUAACAGACGGAGAACCAGGCCAUCUACAGCGGAUACAAUAAAUUUCUUUUGAUCGUUUCAAUAUUUUAUUAAAUAUGUUUUCCAGAUAUAUAUCUUGCAUCUAGCGGGAGUUAAAAGAAAAAAAGUUUAAUUCUCGCUACUGCUCUAUCAAGUUAAACAAAAUACAUAUGUAGUUGUUGUGUUAGACUUCUAUAAUGACAGCGGUAUUCAUAUUUUAUUGGAGGCGGCCGAAAAUAAAAAUAGAAAUAAUGGUAAUAACAUGUCAGAAAGUCGAUGUGGUUGGUAACAAGAACAACAAAAAUAAGAACGCAAACAAAAGAAAACAAUAAUAUAACAAAAGUACCAGAAAUAUUUAAUAGUGAAAUUGCGAGAAAACAGUGUAAUUAGACAUAAUGCCAGUAACUGGACGAAACAGAAAACUUUCUCAACCAAACACAAUCGUGUCAACAGAAGUAUAGGCAACUGUCUUUUUAAAAUGUGCGAUGACAAUAAAAUUCUCACGUUCAAGCAGAGAAAUAAAGCAGAAAGGUUUGUGAGGUGCUUAUAUCGUAGUGUAUAAAAGAAAGACAUUCAGGAACGGUGAAAUAGAGACGCAAAAAUAUUCCGUAUUAUUGUGGAUAGCCUUGUGUGGUACUUAUAUGGUACAAUAUAAAAAAGGAUAUGGAACAGCAAAAGUGAUCUGAAUAAGGGAGCACAGCGCAAAAAUAUAUACUAUGCUGUUCUAUAGGUCUGG